rnacentral:rRNA from 1 species
CCUGAGUACGACGGAGCACGUGAAAUUCCGUCGGAAUCUGGGAGGACCAUCUCCUAAGGCUAAAUACUCUCUAGUGACCGAUAGUGAACCAGUACCGUGAGGGAAAGGUGAAAAGUACCCCGGAAGGGGAGUGAAAGAGAACUUGAAACCGUGUGCUUACAAGUAGUCAGAGCCCGUUAAUGGGUGAUGGCGUGCCUUUUGUAGAAUGAACCGGCGAGUUACGAUCUGAUGCAAGGUUAAGCAGAAAAUGUGGAGCCGUAGCGAAAGCGAGUCUGAAUAGGGCGAAUGAGUAUUUGGUCGUAGACCCGAAACCAGGUGAUCUACCCUUGGUCAGGUUGAAGUUCAGGUAACACUGAAUGGAGGACCGAACCGACUUACGUUGAAAAGUGAGCGGAUGAACUGAGGGUAGCGGAGAAAUUCCAAUCGAACUUGGAGAUAGCUGGUUCUCUCCGAAAUAGCUUUAGGGCUAGCCUCAAGUGAUGAUUAUUGGAGGUAGAGCACUGUUUGGACGAGGGGCCCCUCUCGGGUUACCGAAUUCAGACAAACUCCGAAUGCCAAAUAAUUUAACUUGGGAGUCAGAAUGUGGGUGAUAAGGUCCAUAUUCGAAAGGGAAACAGCCCAGACCACCAGCUAAGGUCCCAAAAUAUAUGUUAAGUGGAAAAGGAUGUGGCGUUGCCCAGACAACUAGGAUGUUGGCUUAGAAGCAGCCAUCAUUUAAAGAGUGCGUAAUAGCUCACUAGUCGAGUGACACUGCGCCGAAAAUGUACCGGGGCUAAACAUAUUACCGAAGCUGUGGAUUGUCCUUUGGACAAUGGUAGGAGAGCGUUCUAAGGGCGUUGAAGCAUG